UAUUCUGUAGUUUAAUGGUUUGAGUGUCAGACUAUGACUUUGAAGACCAGAGCUCAAAUCCCUGCUCAGCCA